ensembl:lncRNA
AUAAUUUAGACAGAGCUUAGAGGGAAGAAAGAGGUUGACCAGAUGUAUAGAUGAUUGCUUGUGGCUGGAAGAGAAAUGAAGUGAGCAAGAAUUGCUGGAACAGUAUGAAGGGCCCACCAGAUGACCUCACCAUCUCCAUCAGCGUUUUCAAGGGUUUCUCCAUGUAUCCCUGACUGACCUGGAACUCAACUCUGUAGACCAAUGUGGCCUUGAGCUCAGACAUCCACCUGCCUCUGGAGUACUGGAUUAAAGUGACCGAUCGCUGCUUGGAUUUUAAAGGUUGUCAUCAAUUCAGUCUCAUCUUGGCAUGUUCCUACAUUGACGUGGUUUUAUCAAAGAUCCUCUCAUUGCCGUGGGAAUCGAAGGAAUAUAUAAGCAAACUGCUGUAAAAACAGUAGCUCCUGCAGCUGGCACCAAGAGAAGUCCAAGGUAUUUGCCCUUCAUUUGUUGUCCACAUGUAGCAUCCUGUCAAGUCACAGUGGACCUUUAGGCUGACAUUGACCCUGUUAUCUACAGUGCUACUAAAGAGCUGCGUUUCUGUAGAGUUCGUUUCCUGAGAAAGCUGAAGAGAAAACGGACCUAGCUUGCUGGGUGUCAGAAGACAAUAUCUGAAUGGGAAAAGAUGGACGGCAAAUAAAUUGAUCAAUAAGAAGAUUAAUAAUAAAGUGCCUGCAGACAAUUGAUUUUGGGUGAUAUAAUGAGCGGUAUCCAGGAUUCUUUGUGUAGCUAAAAAAAAAAAAUGCCUGAAGUAGUUUGAUGAGAGCGUGAGGUGGUGCAGACAUGCGUGCUGGAGGUCGGUAGAGUUCCUGCCUGACAGAGUCAACCUGACCUAGAGGGACGAUUCCUGAAGGGCCAUGAGACGACCGGGGGACACUCUGGAACCAGGCACUUUGGAAACAGGAACAGCGUGCGUCAAGGAAGCUGCACUGGGAAGCUUCUCACCCAUCAGGCUAUUUGGUGAGAAGAUUUGGCAGGGACAGGGGAAAAAUACAGACUAAUUUUGUCACUUGCUGAGGUAGAAGGGAUAUUGGGCAGUAACGCCUCCUACUCUGUACAUGUGCAUAUGGAGUCAUAAUCUUUAUUAUUAUUAUUAUUAUUAUUAUUAUUAUUAUUAUCAUCAUUAUCAUCUGCAUGAGUCAGACUGGAGCUAGAUCUCAUUAAAGAGUCCCCAGGGAGUCUGAAGAGGAACUGAGGCAGACUCAUACCAACUCAAGCAUCCUCAUCAGUAGUUAAGGACUUACCCAGAGUCUGGUGCAUUGAACCUCCACUGAAAAGGCUCAGUCUCAAGGAUCAGCGUUGUAUCUGAGACCCUAGCAUCAGCCUAUGACCCCCGGUGUGCUGGUGCACACCUUUAACCCCAGCACUGCCAAGGCAGGUGGGUCUCUGUGAGUUCUAGGCCUAGUCUACAUAGUGAGCUCCAGGCCAGCUAGAACCACGUUGUGAGAUUCCGUCAGAACAAAAACCUCGGUGGUCAAGACUUCAGCCGAGAGGGCUCAAUGGACAUAAAAACAGAAAGAGUGGAUAGUGCUUGAUUAGAAGUUUCCCUGGUGUUAACAUGCAUAUGUAUGGUCCUAUCAUUACAAAGUCCCUGUUUCUUCAUCUUUAAAUGUUUCAGACAGUGAACAUUUAGAUUCAUUUUCUCUCUGUUACCAAUAAAACCAAACCUAUUUUCAAAGUU